GACCUUCCGUUGUGGUGUUUCAGGGGAAGACGGCAACUACUCCUCCAGCGUGACGACGUCCAGAGCGCCGACAACCUCAACAACACUGUCGUUGGUCAUGCCAGUGACGGCGUUGCUGGUUGCGGUGUAUAGCGCCAGUACCUUGAAUGACUCCGUCACUGGAAUCACGAUGUGGUGCAGCAUCCACGGCGGCACGGCGAAUGUGACGCGCGUGCUGGAUGAUAAUGAGGUGACGGAGGGGUCCGGCUACUGAGAUCUCGUCCUGGGAAGCCACCCCAGCGCGGUGAGAGUCACCUUUCUCCACAGCUUCCUUUCCGUAACGACAGAGGCGGCGCUCAUGGCCCAGUUGAUCGGGGCCGGCAGCACUGGCAGCAUUCCCGGUAUCGUGUCCAUCCAGGGGUGGAGCAAGACGAGCACAGAAAAGCAGCAGGCAUGGAUUGGCGGCCUCGUGGCCGCCAUUGUUGCGCUUGUGGUUGUCUACGGGCUGGUUGCGGUGCAGCUAGGGCACAAGCCCAGGUACGUGAAUGCGGCGUGGCCACAUCUGCAGAAUAUCGGGUCUUACGCGGACCUAGAGGCGACCCAUGCGAACUACGAGGUAAGUGUCGCUUCAUGCAGCGGGAAUCUCUCCGACCCCGCUGCCGCUGUGUGAGACACGACAGUCAGUGUCAGCGAACCAGCUCUGCGACAAGCAUGUGAAUGCCCAGCCCAAUUUUCACUGUUACCAAUAUCUGUCCAGCGAUGGAUGUAGGUGUGCGUGUGUGUGCGUGUGUGUGGGUGUGUGUGUAACUGCGCCACCACCCCUUUCAUGUCUCCCGCUGCCCGAGACCUCGUUACUUCGACAAUCUCCUUCGCUGCUUUGUUUUGUCGUUCUUUCUGCUUACACUACCUCUUUGACGCUUGUGUGGGGCUCGCACCCAGACCACACCCCGCCAGCUCACCCGUCCUUCGCGCUUGCCGUCCCGCGUGUUUCCCUUCCGGGUAGACAGAGCCUCAAGCAAGCAUUCUGACAGAGCGAAAAAAAAAAUGAACACUCAGACGCAGGCGCCUUCUCUCCCUCUCUGUGCAUGUUUUCGGUCGUUUUUUUUCUUUGGUUUCUUCUUCUGCCGCGUGGUCGUAGUU
rnacentral:misc_RNA from 1 species